rnacentral:lncRNA from 1 species
GACCGUAAGAGGCAAUAUGAGCUGAUGAAACUUGAAAGAAACUUCCAGAAGCAGUCCAAUGUGCUCAGGCGUAAAACUGAGGAGGCAGCAGCUGCCAAUAAGCGUCUCAAAGAUGCUCUCCAAAAGCAACAGGAGGUCGCAGAUAAGCGGAAGGAGAUUCAGAGCCGUGGAAUGGAAGGCACUGCAGCUCGAGUGAAGAAUUGGCUUGGAAAUGAAAUUGAGGUUAUGGUCAGUACUCAGGAAGCCAAACGUCAUCUGAGUGACCUUCUUGAAGAUAGAAAGAUCCUGGCUCAGGACCUGGCUCAACUCAAAGAAAAAAAGGAAUCUGGGGAGAAUCCUCCUCCUAAACUUCGGAGGCGCACAUUCUCAUUUGCUGAAAUGCCUGGUCAAGUUUCAGAGUCAGAGGAUUCUAUUACAAAGCAGAUUGAAAGCCUAGAGACUGAAAUGGAACUCAGGAGUGCUCAGAUUGCUGACCUCCAGCAGAAGCUCCUGGAUGCAGAAAGUGAAGACAGGCUGAAACAGCGCUGGGAGAAUAUUGCUACAAUUCUAGAAGCCAAGUGUGCCCAGAAAUAUUUAAUUGGAGAGCUUGUCUCGUCCAAAAUACAGGUCAGUAAGCUUGAAAGCAGCCUGAAGCAGAGCAAGGCCAGCUGUGCUGAUGUGCAGAAGAUGCUGUUUGAGGAACGAAAUCAUUUUGCUGAGAUAGAGACAGAGUUGCAAGCUGACCUGGUCAAGGUAAAAUGGCAAGCCCAGAAGCUAUAGUGGAGACACAAACUACCAUUGCCUUUUAUUGUUGGUUUUAAAAAGUAGUGACUUCCUUCAAAAGCUAUGUUGUCUUUUCCAAAUUUU